AUUGAACGCUGGCGGCAUGCUUUACACAUGCAAGUCGAACGGCAGCGCGGGCUUCGGCCUGGCGGCGAGUGGCGAACGGGUGAGUAAUGCAUCGGAACGUGCCCAGUAGUGGGGGAUAGCCCGGCGAAAGCCGGAUUAAUACCGCAUACGACCUGAGGGUGAAAGCGGGGGACCGAAAGGCCUCGCGCUAUUGGAGCGGCCGAUGUCGGAUUAGCUAGUUGGUGGGGUAAAGGCUUACCAAGGCGACGAUCCGUAGCGGGUCUGAGAGGACGACCAGCCACACUGGGACUGAGACACGGCCCAGACUCCUACGGGAGGCAGCAGUGGGGAAUUUUGGACAAAGGGGGCAACCCUGAUCCAGCCAUGCCGCGUGCGGGAAGAAGGCCUUCGGGUUGUAAACCGCUUUUGUUCGGGAAGAAAUCCUCUGGGCUAAUACCCCGGGGGGAUGACGGUACCGGAAGAAUAAGCACCGGCUAACUACGUG
rnacentral:rRNA from 1 species